AUCUAUACAAUACAUUGACAGUUACUGCCCAGUACAUCCCGAUACCCACUGCCCAUACCCACCACAACACAGCCAUCUAUACAAUACAUUGACCGUUACUGCCCAGUACAUCCCGAUACCCACUGCACAAACACACCACAACACAGCCAUCUAUACAAUACAUUGUCAGUUACUGCCCAGUAUAUCCCGAUACCCACUGCCCAAACCCACCACAAC